AAGGGGAGAGUUUUUCUGCGGG
rnacentral:miRNA from 1 species